UCGGGAAUAUUGCGCAAUGGAGGAAACUCUGACGCAGUGACGCCGCGUAUAGGAAGAAGGUUUUCGGAUUGUAAACUAUUGUCGUUAGGGAAGAGAAAGGACAGUACCUAAGGAGGAAGCUCCGGCUAACUACGUGCCAGCAGCCGCGGUAAUACGUAGGGAGCAAGCGUUAUCCGGAAUUAUUGGGUGUAAAGGGUGCGUAGACGGGAAUACAAGUUAGUUGUGAAAUCCCUCGGCUUAACUGAGGAACUGCAACUAAAACUAUAUUUCUUGAGUGCAGGAGAGGUAAGUGGAAUUCCUAGUGUAGCGGUGAAAUGCGUAGAUAUUAGGAGGAACACCAGUGGCGAAGGCGACUUACUGGACUGUAACUGACGUUGAGGCUCGAAAGCGUGGGGAGCAAACAGGAUUAGAUACC
rnacentral:rRNA from 1 species